AUGCUCACUUCGGCAGCCCAUAGACUAAAAUUGGAACGAUAUAGAGAUUAGCAUGGCUCCUGCUCAAGGAUGACCUGCAAAUUCAUGGAGUGUUCCAUAUUUUU